rnacentral:rRNA from 1 species
UACCAGCACCCCGAGUGGUCGGGACGAUUAUUGGGCCUAAAGCAUCCGUAGCCGGUUCUACAAGUCUUCCGUUAAAUCCACCUGCUUAACAGAUGGGCUGCGGAGGAUACUAUAGAGCUAGGAGGCGGGAGAGGCAAGCGGUACUUAGUGGGUAGGGGUAAAAUCCGUUGAUCCAUUGAAGACCACCAGUGGCGAAGGCGGCUUGCCAGAACGCACUCGACGGUGAGGGAUGAAAGC